CUUGCCCAGAUGUAGUUCAAGUAAACCAGUUAGACAGCAGCUCGCUGCUCGUCCUCAUAGAGAAGUCCGUACAUAUAGUUGGUCUGGAGGGGGAGCUGAAGAGCAACAGGCCUCUGACACAUGAGACCACCUUCUCUCAGGAUGUCCAGUCUAUAGUGUAUUUUGAGAAAACGCUGCUUGCAGUGUGGCGUCACGGCUGGCAGAGGAGAGGACAAGGUUUCACUGAGGUGCUGGAAGAAACCACUGACCCCAGAAAGAUCUACAGACUGGUGCAGUCAGACAGGUGCAGCACCAUCACUCUCU